GAAUGAAUUACUCUCUACAGUUUACCCACGAUUGAACAUAAUAGAGACGUCAACCCCAACAUUUUUAACUGAACGCACAAUUCUGUCUGCGCGUAACGAUGAUGUCAGUGACAUCAAUACUACUGCAUUGAAUAUCUUUCCAGGGAGAUUACAUACUUAUCUUGCAGCAGAUAAAAUGUCUGGAGAUAAUGAAGUCGAUCCUACUAUUACAAAUAGAUAUCCUAAUGAAUAUUUAAAUUCAUUGGAUCCUCCUGGGUUGCCAACUUUUAAGUUAGAGUUGAAGGUGGGUUGUCCUAUAAUAUUGUUGAGAAACAUUGCACCGAAAGAUGGACUAUGUAAUGGUACAAGAUUGAUGGUUACUAGGUGCGACACUCGCAUAAUUGAAGCUCAAAUUUUAACUGGAGAAAAGUUUGGCAAUUUGGCAUUCAUACCAAGGAUAUCUUUGGCACCAUCUUCUUCAGAAAUGCCUUUCCAAAUGACAAGACGUCAAUUUCCAGUCCGAUUGGCAUAUGCCUUGACCAUUAAUAAAUCUCAAGGACAAUCUGUGAAAUUUGUUGGGGUUGAUUUGCGCAUACCAGUGUUUAGCCAUGGGCAAUUAUAUGUGGCAUUGUCCAGAUGUACAUCAUUUGAUCGUAUAAGUAUUCUGCUCCCUAAAGAUUGUUUGGAUUCUACUACAAAUAUUGUUUAUCCUGAAGUGUUGUUGUAGUGUUCAGAAGGAUUGGAUGGAAAAAUAUAUGGAGCUUAAAAGGAGAAAUACAACUGUCUUGCUUCGAUGGGGAUGUAAUAAGAUUAUUGUGCAUGUUCCUCAUUGGGGAUACAUACAAGUUGAUACGAAGAUUUUUUGGAAAGUAAUGAGGAGGAAGUUCGGGCAAACACAUGUUUAAAGACAUGUUAUUGACACAUUUUUUGUAAAGUAUACAUAUUUUGUAAAUGUUUAACCUACUUUUUGUAAAAUUUUAACUCACUCUUUUGGUGAAUGACAAUAUAAUGUUUAUUUUUUUAUGUAAUUAUAAUUUGAUUGGCAGCAGUAGCACUAAUUGGUGUGUAUUUUAAUU